UGGGAUAAGCGCUGGAAACGGCGUCUAAUACUGGAUAUGUGACGUGAUCGCAUGGUCUGCGUCUGGAAAGAAUUUCGGUUGGGGAUGGGCUCGCGGCCUAUCAGCUUGUUGGUGAGGUAAUGGCUCACCAAGGCGUCGACGGGUAGCCGGCCUGAGAGGGUGACCGGCCACACUGGGACUGAGACACGGCCCAGACUCCUACGGGAGGCAGCAGUGGGGAAUAUUGCACAAUGGGCGCAAGCCUGAUGCAGCAACGCCGCGUGAGGGAUGACGGCCUUCGGGUUGUAAACCUCUUUUAGCAGGGAAGAAGCGAAAGUGACGGUACCUGCAGAAAAAGCGCCGGCUAACUACGUGCCAGCAGCCGCGGUAAUACGUAGGGCGCAAGCGUUAUCCGGAAUUAUUGGGCGUAAAGAGCUCGUAGGCGGUUUGUCGCGUCUGCUGUGAAAUCCGGAGGCUCAACCUCCGGCCUGCAGUGGGUACGGGCAGACUAGAGUGCGGUAGGGGAGAUUGGAAUUCCUGGUGUAGCGGUGGAAUGCGCAGAUAUCAGGAGGAACACCGAUGGCGAAGGCAGAUCUCUGGGCCGUAACUGACGCUGAGGAGCGAAAGGGUGGGGAGCAAACAGGCUUAGAUACCCUGGUAGUCCACCCCGUAAACGUUGGGAACUAGUUGUGGGGUCCAUUCCACGGAUUCCGUGACGCAGCUAACGCAUUAAGUUCCCCGCCUGGGGAGUACGGCCGCAAGGCUAAAACUCAAAGGAAUUGACGGGGACCCGCACAAGCGGCGGAGCAUGCGGAUUAAUUCGAUGCAACGCGAAGAACCUUACCAAGGCUUGACAUAUACGAGAACGGGCCAGAAAUGGUCAACUCUUUGGACACUCGUAAACAGGUGGUGCAUGGU
rnacentral:rRNA from 1 species